rnacentral:misc_RNA from 1 species
UUUCCGUAGGUGAACCUGCGGAAGGAUCAUUACCUAGAGUUGUAGGCUUUGCCUGCUAUCUCUUACCCAUGUCUUUUGAGUACCUUCGUUUCCUCGGCGGGUUCGCCCGCCGAUUGGACAAUUUAAACCCCUUGUAGUUGCAAUCAGCGUCUGAAAAAACAUAAUAAUUACAACUUUCAACAACGGAUCUCUUGGUUCUGGCAUCGAUGAAGAACGCAGC